GACGAACGCUGGCGGCGUGCUUAACACAUGCAAGUCGAACGGUAAGGCCCUUCGGGGUACACGAGUGGCGAACGGGCGAGUAACACGUGGGUGAUUUGCCCUGCACUUCGGGAUAAGCCUGGGAAACUGGGUCUAAUACCGGAUAGGACCACUGCCUGCAUGGGUGGUGGUGGAAAGCUUUUGCGGUGUGGGAUGGGCCCGCGGCCUAUCAGCUUGUUGGUGGGGUGAUGGCCUACCAAGGCGACGACGGGUAGCCGGCCUGAGAGGGUGACCGGCCACACUGGGACUGAGAUACGGCCCAGACUCCUACGGGAGGCAGCAGUGGGGAAUAUUGCACAAUGGGCGCAAGCCUGAUGCAGCGACGCCGCGUGAGGGAUGACGGCCUUCGGGUUGUAAACCUCUUUCAGCACCGACGAAGCGCGAGUGACGGUAGGUGCAGAAGAAGGACCGGCCAACUACGUGCCAGCAGCCGCCGUAA
rnacentral:rRNA from 1 species